AGAGUUUGAUCCUGGCUCAGAUUGAACGCUGGCGGCAUGCCUUACACAUGCAAGUCGAGCGGCAGCACGGGAGUAAUCCUGGUGGCGAGUGGCGAACGGGUGAGUAACAUAUCGGAACGUGCCCAGUAGUGGGGGAUAGCCCGGCGAAAGCCGGAUUAAUACCGCAUACGACCUAAGGGUGAAAGCGGGGGAUCGUAAGACCUCGCGCUAUUGGAGCGGCCGAUAUCAGAUUAGCUAGUUGGCGGGGUAAAAGCCCACCAAGGCGACGAUCUGUAGCUGGUCUGAGAGGACGACCAGCCACACUGGGACUGAGACACGGCCCAGACUCCUACGGGAGGCAGCAGUGGGGAAUUUUGGACAAUGGGCGCAAGCCUGAUCCAGCCAUGCCGCGUGUGGGAAGAAGGCCUUCGGGUUGUAAACCACUUUUGUCAGGGAAGAAACGGUUGGAUCUAAUACAUUCGACUAAUGACGGUACCUGAAGAAUAAGCACCGGCUAACUACGUGCCAGCAGUCGCGGUAAUACGUAGGGUGCAAGCGUUAAUCGGAAUUACUGGGCGUAAAGCGUGCGCAGGCGGCCUUGCAAGACAGAUGUGAAAUCCCCGGGUUUAACCUGGGAACUGCAUUUGUGACUGCAAGGCUAGAGUACGGUAGAGGGGGAUGGAAUUCCGCGUGUAGCAGUGAAAUGCGUAGAUAUGCGGAGGAACACCGAUGGUGAAGGCAAUCCCCUGGACCUGUACUGACGCUCAUGCACGAAAGCGUGGGGAGCAAACAGGACUAGAUACCCUGGUAGUCCACGCCCUAAACGAUGUCAACUGGUUGUUGGACGGCUUGCUGUUCAGUAACGAAGCUAACGCGUGAAGUUGACCGCCUGGGGAGUACGGCCGCAAGGUUGAAACUCAAAGGAAUUGACGGGGACCCGCACAAGCGGUGGAUGAUGUGGUUUAAUUCGAUGCAACGCGAAAAACCUUACCUACCCUUGACAUGUCAGGAAGUUACCAGAGAUGGUUUCGUGCUCGAAAGAGAACCUGAACACAGGUGCUGCAUGGCCGUCGUCAGCUCGUGUUGUGAGAUGUUGGGUUAAGUCCCGCAACGAGCGCAACCCUUAUCAUUAGUUGCUACGUAAGGGCACUCUAAUGAGACUGCCGGUGAUAAACCGGAGGAAGGUGGGGAUGACGUCAGGUCAUCAUGGCCCUUAUGGGUAGGGCUACACACGUCAUACAACGGCCGGUACAGAGGGCUGCCAACCCGUGAGGGGGAGCUAAUCUCAGAAAACCGGUCGUAGUCCGGAUCGCAGUCUGUAAUUUGACUGCGUGAAGUCGGAAUCGCUAGUAAUCGCGGAUUAGCUUGCCGCGGUGAAUACGUUCCCGGGUCUUGUACACACCGCCCGUCACACCAUGGGAGCGGGUUCUGCCAGAAGUAGUUAGCCUAACCGUAAGGAGGGCGAUUACCACGGCAGGGUUCGUGACUGGGGUGAAGUCGAAAUAGGGUA
rnacentral:rRNA from 1 species